UACGGAGGAUGCGAGCGUUAUCCGGAUUUAUUGGGUUUAAAGGGUGCGUAGGCGGACGCUUAAGUCAGCGGUAAAAUUGCGGGGCUCAACCUCGUCGAGCCGUUGAAACUGGCUUGCUAGAGUGGGCGAGAAGUAUGCGGAAUGCGUGGUGUAGCGGUGAAAUGCAUAGAUAUCACGCAGAACCCCGAUUGCGAAGGCAGCAUACCGGUGCACAACUGACGCUCAGGCACGAAAGCGUGGGGAUCGAACAGG
rnacentral:rRNA from 1 species